rnacentral:misc_RNA from 1 species
GCAAACUUGGUCAUUUAGAGGAAGUAAAAGUCGUAACAAGGUUUCCGUAGGUGAACCUGCGGAAGGAUCAUUAUUGAAUGAAUUUAUGGAGCUGUUGCAGGUUUCACGGCCUUGCACGCUUCAAUUCUUUCAACUUCAUUUCCUGUGCACCUUUGCAUAAAUCUGAGAACUGUGGAGUAUAUGUCGCCUUCUAAAGUGCGGAUGGAAAGGAUGCCUAUGUGCUCCUUUUGUUCUCUCUCAGUUUGGAUUUGUGAUUAUAUUAAUUCUGUAUGUUUAGAAUGGUAUUACAUUAUGGGACUUUGUCCUUUAAUAACAAAUACAACUUUCAACAACGGAUCUCUUGGCUCUCGCAUCGAUGAAGAACGCAGC